UACGUAGGGUGCAAGCGUUAAUCGGAAUUACUGGGCGUAAAGCGUGCGCAGGCGGUUAUGUAAGUCCGAUGUUAAAUGCCCGGGCUUAACCUGGGAACUGCAUUUGUGACUGCAUGGCUAGAGUUUGGCAGAGGGGGGUAGAAUUCCACGUGUAGCAGUGAAAUGCGUAGAUAUGUGGAGGAACACCGAUGGCGAAGGCAGCCCCCUGGGUCAAGACUGACGCUCAUGCACGAAAGCGUGGGGAGCAAACAGG
rnacentral:rRNA from 1 species